UGUUGCUUCUGUACCAAAUGGUGAAUACCCGAUUCAGUCUGAUCUCAGAAGCUGGACAGAGUUGGGCUUUGCUCGUACUGGGAUGGGAGACCACUGGAAUACCAAAGUGCUGCAGUAG
rnacentral:rRNA from 1 species